AUGCAGCGGGUCCCCGUUGCAGGGAUGCCCUCCGCACCUCAGGGUGCGGGGUGGCCCCGGGGACCAGUGAGGUGGCCUGGUGUCCCCUCCACGGUUUGGGGUGCGGGGUGGCCCCGGGGACCAGUGAGGUGGCCCGGUGUCCCCUCCACGGUUUGGGGUGCGGGGUGGCCCCGGGGACCAGUGAGGUGGCCUGGUGUCCCCUCCAUGGUUUGGGGUGUGGAGUGGCCCCGGGGACCAGUGAGGUGGCCUGGUGUCCCCUCCACGGUUUGGGGUGCGGGGUGGCCUCGGGGACCAGUGAGGUGGCCCAGCAGGACGGGUAUAGCUGUAUGGGAGAGUCCGUGUGUGUGUGUGCCCCCCCGUGUCCCCCCGCGCACCCUCCCGCCCUCCCGGCGCAGCCCGCGGCGUUGCCAGGCGACGGCAACGGCAACGGCGAUGGCGGCGGCGGGCGCGGCCCAGGCCCCGACCCAGGACCCGGCCCAGGACCCGGCCCAGGACCCGGCGACGCUGCCGCUGCCGCAGCUCCGGGCCCUGCUGCGGGACUCCCGGUACCGGCGGGCGGGGGCCGGGCCGGGGGGGCCGGCUGGGACCGUGGCCUGGCUCAGAGGGGCGCGGGGGGGACCGGGCGCCGGGCACCGCCGCGCUGCCGCCCAUCUCGGCGGCUGCUGCCAAGGCCCGACCUCGCUGCGGGAGGUUUUGUGGAGCAGCCGCCGAGCUCCCCACGCCCGSGCCCUUCCGUGGCCUGCAGCUGGCCACUUGUUUCCCUUGACCGGUCGGAGGCCUCCAUCUGCCAGUCCAGGGAGGUGUAAGGCGGGGGGAACCCUCCGACGCCCCGGGUGGGGUAACGCCGUGUCUCCGGGAGCCCCYGGGACGGGCGAGCUGCGCGCGGCCAAAAUGCUGUGGGAGCCCGGCGGGUCGCGGGGUUGUCACACGCCCCGCGCCGGGCUGGGGCGUUUUGGAAGGGAUAUCCUGACGCCGGUCAGAAGGAAAAUAAGGUCAGCGUAA
rnacentral:lncRNA from 1 species